AGAGUUUGAUCAUGGCUCAGGACGAACGCUGGCGGCGUGCCUAAUACAUGCAAGUCGAGCGGAGUUUUGAAGGUGCUUGCACCUUCGAAGCUUAGCGGCGGACGGGUGAGUAACACGUAGGCAACCUGCCUGUAAGACCGGGAUAACCCACGGAAACGUGAGCUAAGACCGGAUACACGAAGCUCUUGCAUGAGAGCUUC
rnacentral:rRNA from 1 species